UGACGUCAUAGCUCGCAGCGGCUUCCUGGGAGUUUCCUCCUCCUGUGCUUCGCUGGGCGACGUCUCCCGAGCAGUUUAGCUGGAAAACGUUCUGAGAGGCGUGGCCGGCGCGGGACAAUGGUUUGGGGCUGGUGUCUGGGGUCCUAUUUUAUCACCCCUUAAUUUGCCCCUUACUGACCACGUCGGGCGCACCUCGGCCUCAAAGCAGGCCUGGCUCAAACUUCUGCCUCAGCCUCCCAGAGUGCUGGGAUUUCAGACGUGGGACAACAGCCAAGCUCGAGGGACUCUUGAACACUUGUCUAACAUAUGUGCAUUCACCAGUGAAGUUGUCCUGGCCAAAACACCUGGCACCAGCGUCUACCUGGGCAUCAACCUUCAUCCCUUCGACUCCCCUAGGCUCCAGUACAGCGCCUUCUACCAGCAGGAAGUAGUUAAAGAGAGAAAUCUUCGCCCCUUUUCAUAAUAAUAAUCAUAAGACGGGAUAUGAAAGGGUUUUGGCCCAGACAGGACACUGUAGCCAGGAAAGCCUCAACCGGAAGCAGGAAGCCCCUAUCUCCCCCGCCCCUAGGAAGUUACCUGUGACGCCAUCUUCCCGCCCCUGGAAAUUUACAUAUGGCACCAAACCUAGGAACAAUGGGCUACCUGUACAUCUCUAAUGCCCGCCUUAGGUUCCACCCCAAACCGAGGCUAUUUAGGUGAAUUCAAGCAAAGAUUGAUUAACAGAGAUAAAGAAGGCAUAAAGGUACAUCAUACUGAAGAAAAAAAAAGAAGGCCAUUAUAACCUCAUAAAGGGGACAAUCCAAGAGGAAGAGAUAAUAAUCAUAAAUAUAUAUACAACAUGCCAGUGCACCCAGCUAUAUAAAACAAAUACUAAUAAACAUGAAAAAUCAAAUAAGCCCUAAGGUAAUCAUAUUGGGAGAUCUCAAUAUCCCACUGUCACAUAAAGACAGAUCAACAACACAAAAAAUUAGUAAUGAAAUACUAGAACCAAACCAAACUUUUGAGCAAAUGGGCUCAGUAGUUGUCUGUAGAGUGUUCCACCCCACAACAUCAGAAUAUAUAUUCUCAGCUGCACACAGGAUGUUCUCCAAAAUACACCAUAUACUAGCCCACAGAACAUGUUUAAGUAAAUGCAAAGGAAUUCAAGUUAUUCCAUUCAUACUAUGAGACCACAGUGCAAUGAAAUUGGAAAUCCUUGGCAAAAGAAGCCACGAGAACUUCAAAAACACAUAGAAAUUAAAUAAAACCCCACUGAAAAACCAACUGGUCACAGAUGAAAGAAGAAAUUAGACAAUUUUUACAAUUGAAUAAUAACAACAAUACAACAAGUCAGAACUUAUGAGACACAAUGAAAGCAGUCUUAAGAAGAAAAUUUAUAGCAAUAAAUGCCCAUAUCAGGAAAACAGGGCAAGUACAUAUAAACAACUCAAUGGCGAACCUCAAACUUCUAGAAAAAGAAGAGCAGGCUAAGCCAAAAGCUCAUACAAGGGAGGAAAUUAUAUGGAUCAGAGCAGAAAGUAACAUACUGGAGACUAAAAAACAAUACAAAGAAUUAAUCAAUUGAAGAGUUGGUUCUUUGAAAGAUUAAAUAAAAUUGACAAACCUUUAGCCAGUCUUAUCAAAAAAUAAGAAAAUUCUCAAAUACAUGCAUUUAGGAAUGAAUAGGGUGAAAUCACAACAAAUCCUGCAGAAAUUCAGAAGAUCAUGUAUACCUACUUUGAGAACUUAUAGUCAAAAAGAUGGAAAAUACAGAAGAGAUGGGCAGAUUCCUGGAUACAUAUGAAUUACCAAAACUGAAUAAAGAAGAUAUCAAAAUCCUUAAUAAUCCAAUAUUAAUCAAGGAAAUUGAAGAUGUAAUUAAAAACCUGUCAACAGGGGCUGGGGAUUUAGCUCAGCGGCAUAAGCGCCUGCCGUGCAAGCAGGCGGUCGUGAGUUCGAUCCCCGGUACCGAUAAAAAGGAAAAAGACAAAAAAAAAAAAAAAAAAAACUGUCAACAAAGAAAAACUCAGGGCCUGACAGAUUCACUGCUGAAUUCUACAAGAAAUUUAGAGACCUAUCACCACUACUUCUCAAACUCUUUACUGAAAUUGAAGGGGAAGCAAUACUCUCAAAUACAUUUGUGGAAGCAAGUGUUACCCUGAAACCAGAGAAGUAUCCAACAACAAAAAAAAAGAAAGAAAACUACAGCCAAAUAUCCCUAGUGAGCACAGAUGCCAAACUCCUCAACAAGAUACUGGCAAACAAAUGCAGCAAAUCAUCAAGAAGACUAUAUACCAUGACCACAUAGGAUUCAUCCCAGGGAUGCAAGAAUGGCUCAACAUAUGUAAAUCAAUAAAUGUAAUACACCAGAUUAACAGAGCCAAGGACAAAAACCAUACGAUCAUCUCGACAGAUGCAGAAAAAGCAUUUGACAAAGUCCAACACCUACUUAUGAUUUUUAAAAGUCCUACAGAAAUUUGGAACAGAUGGUCUUUAUUUCAAUUUGAUAAAAGUUACCUCUUUCUGUUAGAAAGCAGGGAUUUAGCAGUGGUGCAGCACCUGCCUGGCAAAUGUGAGGUCCUGAGUUCAGUUCCUGGUACCCAAAAAGAAAAACAGUUAUCUAUGAAAAUCCCACAAUCAACAUCAUACUACAUGGACAAAACCCAGAAGUUUUCAGUCUAAAAUCAGGAACAAGGGCCAAGGAUAUAGCUCAAUGGCAUAGCGCCUGCCUGGCAAAUGCGAGGUGCCAAGUUCGAUUCUUGGUAUAAAAAUAAAUAAAUAAAAUCAGGAACAAGACAAAGAUAUCCACGGUCACUGCUCUUCUUCAAUAUAGUUCUGGAGCAAUUAGAUUUAGAUAAGAGAAAUAAAAGGAAUAAGGAUAAGAAAGGAAGAAGUUAAAUUAACAUUAUUUGUGGUUGACAUGAUAUUCUACAAAGAUCCUAAAAACUCCACCCAAAGACUUUUAGAUUUAAUAAGCAAAUUCAGUCACAUAGCUAUAUACAAAGUCAACAUUCAAAAAUCAAUAGGAUUCCUGUACACAAAUAACAAACUCACUGAGACAGAAAUCAGGGAAACAAGGGGUUGGAGACAUAGCUCAGUGGCACAAGCACUUGCCUGGUAAGCACAAGGUCCUGAGUUCAAUUCCCAAUACUCACUCCCCCAAAAUAAAUAAAAUUUAAAAACAGAAAUUAGGGAAAUAACACUUCAUAAUAGCACCCCCCCCAAAGUGAAAUAUCUAGGAAUCAAUCAACAGAGGAAGUAAAAGACUUCAAUACUGAAAACUACAGUACUCUAAAAAAGGAGAUUGAAGAGGAAUCAGAAAAUGGAAGAAUAUUUCUUGUUCUUGGGUAGGAAGAAUCAAUAUAGUGAAAAUGGCCAUACUUCCAAAAUGGUUGUACAAUUUAAGGCAAUCCUGAUCAAAAUAUCAAUAGCAUAGCACACCUAAUUAGAGAAAACAAUCCCACAAUUCAUUUGUAAUGAGAAGAAACCUAAAAGAGCAAAAGUAAUUCUGGAUGACAAAGAAAAAGCAGGGGCAUUACAACCCCUGAUGAGAUUAUACUACAAAGCUACUGUGAUAAAAACAGCAUGGUACUGGAGAGGAGGACAGAUCUGAGGAUCAACAGGACAGAUUAGAAGAUGCAGAAACAACUUGAAACAUACUUAGCCAUCUUGGCUUUGACAAACAUGUUCACUGGAAGAAAGACAAUGUCUUUAAUAAAUGGUGCUGGGAAAACUGGCUUUUUACAUGUUGAAGAUUAAAACUAGACACAUAUAUUUUACCAUGCACUAACCUAAAAUCAAAAUGGAACAAAGAUCUAAAUAUUACAAUAGAAACACUAAAUCUGCUGGAAGAUAGAAGAGGCAGAACUUUUGAAGGCACUGGUCUAGACAAAGACUUUAAAACCCCAGUUGCACAGGAACUAUCACAGAGAAUCAACAACUGGGAUAUCCUCUUAUUAAAAAGCUUUUGCACAGCAAAAGAAACUACUAACAGAGUGAAGAGACAACCUACAGUGUGGGGGAAAAUAUUUCUCUAGCUGCUGCUCAAACAAAAGACUAGUAGCCAGAAUUUAAAAAAAAAAAAAAUCCACCCCCCGAAUUGGAAGACCCAGUCCAAAAUGGGUAUGUGAAAUAAACAGACAUUUCUCAGAUGAAGACUAGAAAUGCCAAAUGAAUAUAUGAAAAAAUGUUCAGCAUCAUUGGUCACUUGAGAAAUGCAAAUUAAAACCACACAGAGAUUCUGUCUCACUCCAGAAAGAAUGGCUAUCAUCAAGAAAUCAACCAAUAACAAAUGCUGGAGGAGUUGUGGGGGGAAAAGAACCUUUCUCCACUGUGGGCUGUUGGCAGGGAGUGUAGACUGGUGUGACCACGUGGAAAUCAGUGUGGGGGUUCCUCACAAAACUCGUACUGGAGGCCCAUUUGACCCAGCUAUUCCCCUUCUUGGUAUCUUCAUGAAAGAAUUAAAAGCAUCAAACCACAGCGAUAUAUGUGUACCUAUAUGUAAAGUACCCCAAUUUGUAAUAUCUAAAUCUCAUCAACUAGUGCCAUCAACUUGUGAUAAAGAAGAUGUGGCUUUUUAUACAAUGGAGUACUACUCUUUCAUAAAGGAUAAGCUUGAGACAUUUUAUCUAAAUGAAUGUACUUGAGAUCAUAAUUUUAAGAGAAAUAAAUUGGACCCACACGUUUAAA